rnacentral:tRNA from 1 species
AGCCGGCCCAGCUGGACCGGGGCACGGUGCUGGCCCCGGCGUUCCAUAUGGAUGAGCACGUCAAGGGCGCUGGUUGCCUGCAGCGCCGUGGCUGCUGGUUCGAGUCCGGCGAGCGCUCCCA